rnacentral:hammerhead_ribozyme from 1 species
CCACUGCUGAAGAGUCUCAAACUAGGACGAAACAGCUGUCCAGUAC